AACGCGAAGAACCUUACCUGGGCUCGAACGGCUUUGGAACAUCCUUGGAAACAGGGACUUCCCGCAAGGGACCGGAGUCGAGGUGCUGCAUGGCUGUCGUCAGCUCGUGUCGUGAGAUGUUGGGUUAAGUCCCGCAACGAGCGCAACCCUUGUCCUGUGUUGGCAUGCCGCAAGGCGCAACUCGCAGGAGACCGCCAGCGAUAAGCUGGAGGAAGGUGGGGAUGACGUCAAGUCCUCAUGGCCUUUAUGUCCAGGGCUACACACGUGCUACAAUGGCCGGUACAAUGCGCCGCUAAGUCGCAAGACGGAGCCAAUCGCAAAGAACCGGUCUCAGUUCGGAUUGCAGGCUGCAACUCGCCUGCAUGAAGCUGGAAUCGCUAGUAAUGGCAGAUCAGAACGCUGCCGUGAAUACGUUCCCGGGCCUUGUACACACCGACGCGUA
rnacentral:rRNA from 1 species